AGCUUUGCGCAGUGGCAGUAUCGUAGCCAAUGAGGUUUAUCCGAGGCGCGAUUAUUGCUAAUUGAAAAGUCUGCCUGCCACAUGAUAAAAAUUCCCUUUUGGAGUUAAAAAUGUAA
rnacentral:snRNA from 1 species